rnacentral:rRNA from 1 species
UGGGGAAUCUUGCGCAAUGGGCGAAAGCCUGACGCAGCCAUGCCGCGUGAAUGAUGAAGGUCUUAGGAUUGUAAAGUUCUUUCGCCCGUGACGAUGAUGACGGUAACGGGAGAAGAAGCCCCGGCUAACUUCGUGCCAGCAGCCGCGGUAAUACGAAGGGGGCUAGCGUUGUUCGGAAUUACUGGGCGUAAAGCGUGCGCAGGCGGCUCCUUAAGUCAGAUGUGAAAUCCCCGGGCUUAACCUGGGAACUGCGUUUGAAACUGAGGGGCUAGAGUGUGGAAGAGGGGGGUGGAAUUCCAGGUGUAGCAGUGAAAUGCGUAGAGAUCUGGAGGAACACCGAUGGCGAAGGCAGCCCCCUGGGCUAACACUGACGCUCAUGCACGAAAGCGUGGGGAGCAAACAGGAUUAGAUACCCCCGUAGUCCCUGAGCGGGCUGGCAAGGCGCAU